UCAAGACCUAGACACAACCUAAAAAAAACCUAACACAUCUAAGGGAGCCGUUUCUCAUGAUCUGGAACCAAAAAAAACCCUAAGACCAUCAUCUUCCUCAACCUAACACACCUAGGCCCCUAACCUAGAGGAUCCCUGAGAAAUCAGCCGCAUACGCUCCUUCUUGAACCAGCGAAGAACAGAGCUCCAUCAGCCAUCUCCACCUUUCUUCUUCAACCUUCAGACACCCUAACGCCACUUCCCCUCCGGCCAAACCCAAACAGCCGAAACCCAACCCUUUCCUACAAAAUCUUUGGCAGUCGACCACCCUAGAACGACCAUCUCCACCAAACCAUCAGCCGUUGCCAAUUUCCAAACAUUCAAAAUAGCUGAAACAUAACAAAGAGGGGGGGAUAGAAGAUAGAUUUAGAAAGAAAACAAAAAAUACAGAGCGAGAAAAGGGUUUACAAAUAGAGAACAAAGAGAUGCGAGUUUCAAUCCAUCUCUGUUUUUUGUUAAACCACAAAAAACUUCAGCCUUCUUCAACCAUGAAAGCUGUAAAACCAGCUCUAAGAACGUGAAAACAGUAGCUCAAACCACUGCUCGUCGCCGUGAAAAUAGCGGCGUGUGUGUGCGAUUUUCUGAUUCUCGCCGGAAUUUUAGAUCGACUAUUUUUUAAACUUCCCGGCGAAUUUCGAGAUUGUCCGGGUGAGGUAGUCCAAGGUUUAAAAGCAGAAAAAUCGCUUGCGCCCUUCUUCAAUAACUUGGUAAUUGCUUUCUUAAUUGCUUUAACACCCAUCUUACCGGAGGACGGGGACAAAUAAGCCUCUGAAUUCGCCGGAGUUGGAAAGCGCGAGGGUUAUGAUCUUGAUAUAGCUGAAGUUUGAUUCAGGUAUUUCAGAACCCGGUAGCAGGUGUUGAUUGUUCAGUGGUAGAGUCAUCGGAGUUAGAAAGAUUUUCAGGUAAAUGAUGCCAUGAAAUGAUUUGAAUUCAAUUGGAGUGGAAUUGAACAAAAGGGGUGAAAACCAUGCAAAACUCCCAUGUGAUUCCGCAUCUGCGGAAGGUUGGUCUCAUAACCCUGCUUCUGCAUGAAAAGUCCCGCUUCUGCAAAGUUGUCUGACCUUGCAAGAAACUGCAUCUGCGGUUAGAUUACUGCUUAUGCUGUUGCGCAUCUGCGCCGGGUAAACCACAUCUGUGGUGAUAGAGUUUAGUUGACAUUUCGCUUCUGCGAUGGGAUCUCCGCAUCUGGGGAGCCGCACCUGCGAGGAUUCUUCCGCAGGUGCGGUCAACAGACCUGGGCAAUUCAGGCAUUUCAUAUGUUCUCAACUUCAAACUAUUUUUAUACACGACCUAGCAGAUAUUUUGAGGAUCUUUGACUUAUUUUCAGUUCUUAGAACUAGAGAGAACAGGUGGAAGCUAGGGUUUUGCACACACACUUGGGUUUUGAAGAUUUCAAGCUUGUGGUUAAGGAUUUCUU